rnacentral:rRNA from 1 species
ACGUAGGGUGCGAGCGUUAAUCGGAAUUACUGGGCGUAAAGCGUGCGCAGGCGGUUUGUUGUGUCGGCGGUGAAAGCCCCGGGCUCAACCUGGGAAUGGCCGUUGAAACUGGCGACCUAGAGUGCGGUAGAGGGUAGCGGAAUUCCCGGUGUAGCAGUGAAAUGCGUAGAUAUCGGGAGGAACAUCCGUGGCGAAGGCGGCUACCUGGACCAGCACUGACACUGAGGCACGAAAGCGUGGGGAGCAAACAGGA